rnacentral:rRNA from 1 species
CUUUUAAUGAGAGUUUGAUCCUGGCUCAGGACGAACGCUGGCGGCGUGCCUAAUACAUGCAAGUAGAACGCUGAUGUUUGGUGUUUACACUAGACUGAUGAGUUGCGAACGG